UGUCACACACUUACUCUACGCUGGCUCCCGCCUCUCUGUCUGUCUCUCUCCACUCAUGAGGUUUGGACUGUUAACACCAUGCAGCGCAAUCUAGCACUUGUGCACUGCAGGGCUGAUCACUCCACUUGACACAUAUGAUCUGCGGGCAGCAGCACAUCCAUGCUAGCACAGGUCAUGUAGAAAGAGCUGUCGACGUGAACACGGUCCAUCUCUAAGCAACCCGCGGUAGAUGUUGAGCAGCCCAACUUUGUCUCUGGCCUUGCAGUGCUGUUUGUAUUAUUGUAUGAUUUCAACCUCCAGUAUCAGGAAGAGGUGGCAUGCACCCCUGCGAUUGAGAAAGGAAAAGUGACUUAAAAGAAGGCUGGACGUGUGUACAAGAAGAACAGUACUGCAAACCCACAGGUUUCCUCUCUUCUGAAAAACUUUUAAAAAUAUAUUUCUGAAAAACCUUUCCAUUCUUUAAAAGUAAAUAAG